rnacentral:lncRNA from 1 species
UAUGAAGAACAAAAGAUCUACUUCCUCUACAAAAACCAAAUCAAAUGCAUUGAAAAGAGACAAUAAAGUCAGGUCACCUUAAAAAUAAAUACUGUCAUCUUAAGUUUGACCAAGACAACCAUAAAAGAUUGAGGAAGGAAAUCAAAUCAUUUAAAAAUGGGAAGAAUAGUGGUCUUAGAUUGCUUUGUAAGUUUCUGUAAGUUCCUCCUUCACCUAAGAAACUGAAGCUUCACAUGGCCAAUGAUGCUGUGUAGGUGUCACUUGUCUGUGAGAGCCAAUGAAGAACAUUAAUCAGAAGAACCAAACUCAAGAACAAGGCCAUUUCCUGCUUCACAAGGCCAUCUUUACUUUGAAAGAUACAGAAAGACUGUGUAUAUCCUUGCUUGUGACCUUCCCAAUCAGUAGCAUCUGUUUCUAGGUCAGAUGGCAUACAAGUUCCUCCUCUGCUAAGAGUUACUGUUUUU